GGGGGGUGUACGAAAAUGUGAACUGAACUUCACACAGUUUACGUAUUUCUGCGAGAGGAUUCUACCCUGUUUCAAAAUAAAGUGAAUCUCUCAUCAAGGAUCUUUCGGAUAUGACCUUAGAAGCAGAGGUCACGUGUCACUGCUGCAGCAACGAGGGUCAUGUAUAGGUCAAAAUACGACACUCCACUUACAGCUGAUGACGUCAUAAUAAAAACAACAUGCAAAGAUCCACAGCGAGCUAUAUGGUAAUCUGAAACACUUUUUUCUCCAAUGAAUAGCGUCAGGACUUCGCUAAAGAUUUACACUUUUGAUAUAGAAAAAAAGCACUUAGAAGGAAACAGCAUCCAUAAUUUCACAAUUUUCCCCAAAGUUGUACGGCAAUUUCUCUCCAUUAUUUCAUUUCCUCCAAUAAUUGAUCCUAAAUCUAGCACAAUACCAACGGAGAUUUCCGGAAAACUAAACCCUAUGUGAUUAUAGUAAUUUGAUUAGGUGACUAUGUUUAAGUGGUAAAAAUUAGGUCACUUAGCUGCAUUCAAUGGAUGCUGGAUUUAUUACUACAUACGUCUUAUCAGAGUCCAUGAGAUUAUUCAUUCUUAAGUGUACAAUGUCAUUCUUUACACCCUUUGAAUUAUAAUUAUUGUCCUGGUUUUUGGGUUUUUUUUAUAUCUAAUUGUUUACACGAUUAUUUUAUUAUCUUCUGUUUUUCUGCAUCACUCAUUUCAUUACACCCUGGAUAAGCCGUGUCUAAAGAUAGCAAGAAGUACCAAGCAAACAUCUAAUUAAAACCGCGAGAGUUUCAAUAGAGCAAAUAAACUUUAUUAAUAAGAUACUGAUAUCAUGCCGCGGCCUACCAUUGCAUUAAACGGUCGAAUUUCAUACAAACUGAUUUCACAUAAUAUGUUGACAGUGCUACCGUUAGUGUGAUCACAGGUAAAGGUACACGAGAGGAUUCAGAGGUGUUUUUUUUUUCACCGUUAGUGCGAGCACAGGAAAGGUACAAGAGAAGAUUCAGAGUUGUUUUUUUUUUUUUUUUUUUUCACCGUUAGUGCGAGCACAGGAAAGGUACAAGAGAAGAUUCAGAGGGUUUUUUUUCACCGUUAGUGUGAUCACAGGUAAAGGUACAAGAGAAGAUUCAGAGGGGUUUUUUUUCACCGUUAGUGUGAUCACAGGUAAAGGUACACGAGAGAAUUCAGAGGGUUUUUUCCCCAGGGAGUUUGAUUUUUUUUCUUCAAGGGGUCCAAUCUAUAUUAGUAACUAACACUUAGUAUUUCACAACAGAAAGUACUCAAAAAUAAGGAAAUGUAGUAUCUACGUUUAUGGUGAAUGUGCACAAGCACGCGAGAAAAAUAUUAUUAGAAACAUUAUGGGAGAUGAGGAUUUCAUUUACAGUAUGUAAUUGUACUGAAUGGUCAUUUCACGUUACAUGAAAAUUAACAACAACACCCCCACCCCCCCACUCCAUUGCUCAGAGUGGUUCUCUCUACCCUGUUUUCCGUCGGUGUAGGAAAUUUUAGUGUGAUAAUUAAAAUGUAGGGAAUAGGCGGUAUCCACUGGGUAAAGGAGUAAACAUG